rnacentral:piRNA from 1 species
AUGAAUGAAUGAAUGGGUGAAAGAAGAU